GCGCUUCCACCAGCACAUACAUUAAAAUUGGAGCUAUGCAGAGAAGACUAACAUGGUCCCCUGCGCAAGGAGGGAUAGGACUUCAGGCACUUGAACGUUUCCUUC
ensembl:snRNA U6 U6 spliceosomal RNA